rnacentral:lncRNA from 1 species
AUCUUUCUCCCCCCCUAAGUUUAAAAACCCAAAAUCAAAGAAAACAUAAGACUCAACUAAAUAACUCAAAAUUAACAAAAUGUGACUAUGCUUUAUAAUUAUGAUAUAAACACAGAAAUUAAACUUGAAACACUCCAAAUUGACAAAAAUAUCCAACAGUAAACUUGAAAUGGGAUCAAAAGUUGGAUGGUCUAAACUAAUCAAGAAUACAAAAACACCCAUGACCCAGCAUAAAAGGGUAAGUUUAAGUAGCAAAUACAAAUUAUGAAGCAACAAUGAAAACUUCUGAAAUAGCAUAAAAAUCUAUUACAUGAAUCAGAUUAUUCUACAAGGCAACUACAGAAUCCAUAACUAAACAAAACCCAUAAGCUGGAAUGCAAUUUUAUUGACCCGGAAUCAAAAAAAUUGCAAAAUUUACAAAUCAUAGACGCACUGUUCUGUUCAACAGAGGAACUCUGUCACUCCCAACGCCAUGAUGAUGCCCCUCCAUUAUUUGGUUUUCCAAAUUCCCGGAGAAUUGGGAAUAGGAGGUUCAACUUUUAGGGAUCACUAAAAGUCUUACUUUUGAGAUUUCUUGGGCACCAGGGCUGGAUUUGAGCUUCUCAUCCCUUUUCUCGGUAAUGUGCUUUGCUGAGUCCAAAAUAGCUUGUCAUUGAAUACAUCGAUGGAUUAAUACCUUGAAUUUUUAUUUUUUUUAACUUUGGGGAUUGUUUUUUCAUUUUUUUUAAUCAGGUGAUUUAACUUUUAAUUUUUUCCCACUUUGAGAAUUAUCUUUUCAAUUUUUUUAAUUAGGAGAUUAAUUUUUUAUUACGUCUAAUUGAUAGUGUUACAUCAAAAAAUUGAUGACAAAGACAACGACUAGUGACUAAAAAAUUCUUAUGUGUAAUAUUGAGUCUCAUUUUAACAUUUAUUCAAUUAAUUUUUUGUAUAAAAAAGGUAAAUAUAAUACCAUUAUUAAUUUUUUAAAUUUAAUUUAAUGACAAUUUUACCCUUUUUGGAAUAUACAAAAUUAAUUAUAUUGAUUAUUGAAAAUUAUGAAAUAAAUUUAAAGCUCAAGGUAUUAAUUUAUAUUUCGGCCUUAAUUUUUUAUACCAAAAAACAUAAAAUUGUCAUUAUAUUGAUUAUUGAUGAUUAUGAAAUAACAAGAUUGUAAGUAGUAGUACAUUUAUAUAUUUUAACAUAUUUAUCAUUAUAUUAAUUAUUGAUGAUUUUUUAAGUUGAGUUUGUAAUGUAUUGAAUUUACUUUAAAAAAAUAAUAAUGGUCUUAUAUUUAUCUUUUUUGGUAUAAAAAUUUAAUAGAAUAAAUGUUAAAAUGAGACACAAUAUUACACAUAAGUAUUUUUUUAGCCACAUGUCGCUGUCAUGUCAUCAAUUUCUGACAUGGAUCAAUUAAACUUAAUCAGGAAAAAAAAAUUAAAGUUUAAUCCCCUAACUAAAAAAAUUAAGAAGAUAAUCCCCAAAGAGAAAAAAUUAAGAGUUUAAUCUCUUAAUUGAAAAAAUUGAGAAAACAAUUCCCAAAGUAAAAAAAAAUAUUUAAAAGUUCAGGGUAUUAAUCCAUAUAUAUUUAGGCAAAUACAUAAUAACAAUACAGAAUUAUUAAGCAAAUAUUUUAACCACUGAACUCUAAGGAUAUCAAUACACAAAUAUAAAAAACAAGUACCGAGUCAUUUUGGUUGAUCCCAAGUCGACUAACCAAAAUAACUAAGUAAGUUAAACCAAUAAUUUUUAUUUUUUAUUUUAAUGUUAUAUAUUCAUUGAUUUCUCACAUUUAUAUACAAAUUUAUUGUAUACUAGUUAUGUCUCGUGCCUCCGACAUUAUAUGAACGAUGAGAUUUAUCCCAAAUUUUAAACGAUUUAGAUGAUUUAUUAGGGUUAGCGGUAAAUUCAAAAUCACAUUGUUAGAUUAGAUAGAUUUCAUGCCUACCCUACCAUGUCCUACUGUCUCAAUUUACAUAGAAUUCCACACAAACAACAACAGGAAGCAACUACAAGUCCACGACCAUUUAUUAAAUCCCAUAUGCAACGAACCUAUAAGAUUUUGUAACUAAAACAUCUAUAAACCACAGCUUGACAAGAGCCAAUUAAUAAAGAAAACAUAUAUUUUCACAUAUUAAAAUAAUAUUUUUAUAUGAGUCUCACAUAAAAAGAUAAAUAUUCGUUUUCAUGUCUAUCCAUACUUUGUACGAAUUAUCAAACUUGUUAGUUUAGAAGUCGGAAUAGUGCAAUGCAUUUGCAAAAAGAAAAUAAUAUAUAUUACGAAUAUUUAUGUAGAUUUUUUCAAUAUCAGAUAUAUAGAUAUGUAUUAGUAGUAGUGAUAAUCGUUUUUGAGUGAUGUUAAAUGGAACUUUUUAUAAUUUUAUCCAAUCUUAAUAAGUUUCAUAAUUAUAAUUCAUCAUAAAUUUAUCGCAAUACAUAGCAUAACACUUUGCAAAAUUAAAAAAUAUAACAAGUGACUUUAUUUAUUCACUCUUUUAUUAUAAUUUAUCAUGGUAAUUCAUUUUUUAAUUAUAUAUAUAAUGUGAUGUGCCAACUUAUAAUCUUACUAAUUUAUAUAUUAAUAUAUAUAUAUAUAUAUAUAUAUAUAUAUAUAUAUAUAUAUAUAUAUAUAUGUCAGCAAUUAUAAUUUGUAAAAAAAAUUCACAAUGAAUAACAUGACUUGAUAACUAAUUUUUUUAAUUACAUGUGUAAUGUGAUGUGCUAAUUUAUAAUAUUACUAAUUUAUGCAUUGACAUAUGUAGCAAUUAAAAUUAGACAAGAAAAAUUGUAAUAAUUGCAGGAUUCCUAAAUUAUUGAAAGGUACGAUUAUAUUUUAGUCAAAAGUAUACAUUAAGUGAUCAAUAAUGUCUUACCUAGUUACCUUCAUGCAUGCAUAGCCACAUCUUUUCUCAUAAGAGAGAACGGAUUGAAUCGGUAUAUAUUUUUAAGGAAUAAUUAAGAAAAAUUCUAUGCAGAUAUGAAAGUUGAAAAUGAGUGAUUUACAAUUUCACUUAUUUAUAUUUUGAUUUGAAUUGAUUCUCCGUCGUUGAAUUCGGCCUUGUAGACUUCAUAGUUCGUAGUCUUGGAGAUUGAUCUGGCUCCACGAUUGAUUCUCCGAUGCGUAACCACUAGGAAAUCGAUGAAGUCGUCGGACUGAAGUUUGUGGCUGGGUUUUCUUUAAAGGAGAUUUAUGUGUUGGAUAAAAGAUGAUGAAAAAAAUCUUAAUUGGAUGAAUUUGUUAAAAAAUUAAUUACUUAUUUGGUUUUUACGUUUCUGUCCUUUUAGUUCCAUAAAAUGAUUUAAAAUGAGUGUUUGUUUGCCACAUAAGCACAUGCAUAUCGCCGGUCAUAAUCACGUCAUCAAUUUAUGACGUGACAACUUCAAUUGAACCAAAGUAAAAAAAUUGAUAGUUUAAUGACCUGAUUGAAAAAAAUUAAAAGAUCAAUCACCGAAGUGAAAAAAGGUCAAUAGUUUAGGGUAAUAAUUUAUAUUUAAGCCUUAAAAUAUAGAAAAGUUACUAUGAGAAAAUAAUAAUUAAUAUAUUAAAAAGUGUAAUAUAUAUUACAAAAUAUAUUAAUGAUUAAACUUUAAUUAAUAAUUUUAUUUUAGAUAGAAAAUUUUAGUUAAUCAAUUUUAAAAAUAAAUUUCACUUGUAUAUAGUUAUAUAAUUUAAGUUAACGUUAAAAAUAAAAAAUAAUUUACAAAAAUUUAUGUCAUAUAGAAUUUCUUAAAAACCAAGUUUAGACUUUCAUGUUUCACACAAUUUUUAACUCUAAAUAUAUAACUAUGUAUAAAUUCGAAUGAUUGAAAAAAAAAACUAAAUAUUAAAUUUGAAAUUUAUAUAAACUAAAUAUUAAAUUAAAAAAAAAGCAUAUUAACUAACAUUCAAUUGCAUGUCUUUGAUGGUUGUUUAUUUGAGCAAAGUUUGUAGUGAUUCUAUAAUAAAUUAAAUUAAAAUUUAGAAAAAUAUUUUAUAAUCAUUCUAUAUAUAUAAUAAAUAAAGAAUUAAAAAUAAUUUAUUUUAAAAAAUAAAUUCGGUCUCGGCACGGGGCACUUAGCUAGUAUUAUUAAGUACAAAGUAUAUAUAUUUACUAGGACUAAAUACACUUAUAUUAUACUAAGUUUCACCUAUAUAAUUUGACCCCUACAGUAAUUGAGCUUACAAAUCACUACAUAAAAUACCGAUUACAUACAAUGUUGACCCAAAAAUUAUUUUAUGAUAAAAAUAAUCGAAAUACUCCAUUUGUUGGCAACUUAUUCGAUUUUAUACGGUUUGACUUCAUAUCGAUUUUUUUAUACAUGAUAAUAUGUAGAUUACAUUUUUAUAUGCGUAUAAAUAUAUAGUAUUUUAAUUAAAAUUAAGUAAAUACUUUAAAGAACACUCAAAGAAAAAAUUAUUCGUUCUAAAAAAGAAAAAUUAACUUCCUUUCUUCGUUGUUCUAAAUAAAAGAAGUUUUUUGGUGAUCCUUUGUUCACAUUCUAAAAAAAACUCUCUUUCGUUUUUUUUAAAAAGCCUUUCCAUAUGCUCCUCAUGGCAAACCUUAACUACAUCAAAACCCCAAUCAAAAUAAAAGCAUUAAGCAUGAUAAAACUCCUACUCAAUAUCAGUGGUGGAGCUAGGAUUUUUUUUGCAGUGGGAUCGAAAUUAUUACUGAGUUAUAAAUAAUUUGGCNNNNNNNNNNNNNNNNNNNNNNNNNNNNNNNNNNNNNNNNNNNNNNNNNNNNNNNNNNNNNNNNNNNNNNNNNNNNNNNNNNNNNNNNNNNNNNNNNNNNCAAUGCAUCAUUAAUAGACCAAGUAUAAUCCAACUAACCAGUGAUAGUAUUCUCAAAAAGCCCACAUUUGCAGCCUGAAAAUUCAGGUAUAAAGUUAGCACCUUGUACACACUAUUAUAAUAGUCACUAAGCCAUAAAAUUAGAUUUUCAAGAGUCCGCAAAUACCUGUACUGCAUCUCCAUGCUCAAGGUCUGUAACCUGACCAUUUUCAGCUGCAUCAUUUAUCUUUCUCCCCCCCUAAGUUUAAAAACCCAAAAUCAAAGAAAACAUAAGACUCAACUAAAUAACUCAAAAUUAACAAAAUGUGACUAUGCUUUAUAAUUAUGAUAUAAACACAGAAAUUAAACUUGAAACACUCCAAAUUGACAAAAAUAUCCAACAGUAAACUUGAAAUGGGAUCAAAAGUUGGAUGGUCUAAACUAAUCAAGAAUACAAAAACACCCAUGACCCAGCAUAAAAGGGUAAGUUUAAGUAGCAAAUACAAAUUAUGAAGCAACAAUGAAAACUUCUGAAAUAGCAUAAAAAUCUAUUACAUGAAUCAGAUUAUUCUACAAGGCAACUACAGAAUCCAUAACUAAACAAAACCCAUAAGCUGGAAUGCAAUUUUAUUGACCCGGAAUCAAAAAAAUUGCAAAAUUUACAAAUCAUAGACGCACUGUUCUGUUCAACAGAGGAACUCUGUCACUCCCAACGCCAUGAUGAUGCCCCUCCAUUAUUUGGUUUUCCAAAUUCCCGGAGAAUUGGGAAUAGGAGGUUCAACUUUUAGGGAUCACUAAAAGUCUUACUUUUGAGAUUUCUUGGGCACCAGGGCUGGAUUUGAGCUUCUCAUCCCUUUUCUCGGUAAUGUGCUUUGCUGAGUCCAAAAUAGCUUGUCAUUGAAUACAU